rfam:Felis catus isolate Cinnamon breed Abyssinian chromosome A1, whole genome shotgun sequence.
GGAUGUGAGAGCAAUCUGGCUGUGAUGUCUGUCACUGCAUUGAUUGCCAGAGUUGAUACAGCUGAUCUGGCUGGGUAGGCGGGCGUCCCCUUUUUCCCUUACCUGCUCCAUGUGUGUGUCCCUCCCAAAGCUGGCACUUGGUGGAAGAGGACGACCUUCCCCGAUGGAGGAGGUCCUUUCUUCAGUCAAGGGUAUACAGGUAGUUGUGCUCCCCUGCUAGAGCCUCCAGACAAGCUCUCAAGGUCCAUUUGUAGGAGAACGUAGGGUAGUCAGGCUUCCAAGACUCCAGACAUACCCAGAUGAGGUGCUGCAUGCGGCACCUUUAAAA